CUGGGAGAGCUCACCUGUGGGCUCAUAACUCUGUAUAAAUGAGGGAUGUGACCUCUCCUAAACUGAAGGACCUGGGGGAGCUCACCUGUGGGUUAACAACUCUUUAUAAUGAGGGAUGUGACCUCUCCUAAACUGAAGGACCUGGGAGAGCUCACCUGUGGGUUCACAACUCUGUAUAAUGAGGGAUGUGACCUCUCCUAAACUGAAGGACAUGGGAGAGCUCACCUGUGGGCUCAUAACUCUGUAUAAUGAGGGAUGUGACCUCUCCUAAACUGAAGGACAUGGGAGAGCUCACCUGUGGGUUAACAACUCUGUAUAAUGAGGGAUGUGACCUCUCCUAAACUGAAGGACAUGGGAGAGCUCACCUGUGGGUUCAUAACUCUGUAUAACGAGGGAUGUGACCUCUCCUAAACUGAAGGACAUGGGAGAGCUCACCUGUGCCAAAAUAACUGAAUAAUGAGGGAUGCUGAACUCUCUUUAUCCCAUCAUUCCUUUUUUUAGUUCCUUAAUUCUCAGAAAGGGAAAAUAAAUCCUGGAUAAUGUUGGAUCAUACGGUGAAAGACAGAGAAAGACUUAAAAUAAAAUGUGUUUUUAAUUUAGUUUAAAAAAAUGUAACUUGAUAAUGAAGAAUUGGGGUGCUGUGACCAACUUUCUCUUUAAAUAAAUAAAUGUUUACUUCAAUUUUUAUUAUUUCGUCAAACAGGGAUCUUCUUUAACAACCUGACUAAAGGUCACGAUGAGGUUAGAGGUCACAACCUUUUCUCAAAACAGGAAGUUUUCUUUUUCUUCUUCUUCUCGGAAGCACAACCGAUCUUCGCGGUAACUAUGGGAGACGGAAAAGAAGAACACCCACACGUCGGCUUAGAGCCUCGUGGAACAUGGUGAAGUGAACUUAACCCAGGUUAGGGGCCAACCAUAGAGUAAGAUACUUUACUAGGUACUCUAACUCUAUGGGGCUGCCAGUCGUUUAUCUCUAGGGGCCAACCAUAGAGUAAGAUACUUUACUAGGUACUCUAACUCUAUGGGGCUGCCAGUCGUUUAUCUCUAGGGGCCAACCAUAGAGUAAGAUACUUUACUAGGUACUCUAACUCUAUGGGGCUGCCAGUCGUUUAUCUCUAGGGGCCAACCAUAGAGUAAGAUACUUUACUAGGUACUCUAUCUAACUCUAUGGGGCUGCCAGUCGUUUAUCUCUAGGGGUCAACCAUAGAGUAAGAUACUUUACGAGGUACUCUAUCUCUAUGGGGCUGCCAGUCGUUUAUCUCUAGGGGUCAACCAUAGAGUAAGAUACUUUACGAGGUACUCUAUCUAACUCUAUGGGGCUGCCAGUCGUUUAUCUCUAGGGGUCAACCAUAGAGUACCUCGUAAAGUAUUUUACUCUAUCUAACUCUAUGGGGCUGCCAGUCGUUUAUCUCUUGGGGCCAACCAUAGUUAGACAGAGGACUCUCUAAAGACCCUCUUACCUUACUAGGUACUCUAACUCUAUGGGGCUGCCAGUAGUUUAUCUCUAGGGGCCGGCCAUAGAGUAAGAUAGAGGACUCUAAAGUUAAAUCUUACUUUACUAGGUACUCUAUCUAACUCUAUGGGUCUGCCAGUCGUUCUCUCUCUCGCUACUAUGUGCCGUGAAGUGUAUGAUGAUAAUAGUGUAGCUGUAAUCUCUCUCAUCACUCUUGUGUGUGAUGGCUCGUCCAGUGUAGUCUUGGUAUUGCUCUCUUCUCUCCUGUGUGUGCUGUCUGUCUGUACGUACAGUACAGUGGUCUGUGUGUGCUGUCUGUCUGUACAGUACAGUACAGUGGUCUGUGUGCUGUCUGUCUGUACGUACAGCACAGUGGUCUGUGUGUGCUGUCUGUCUGUACGUACAGCACAGUGGUCUGUGUGUGCUGUCUGUCUGUAGGUACAGCACAGUGGUCUGUGUUGCCAGCAAAUUAAGGGUCAUUAUUAUUAUCCAAUCUUCAUCUAAGAAACACACACACUAACGUUCAUUGCAGACCCACACAUUGCAGACACACACAUUGCAGACACAGACAGUAUUCUUUAUAUCUAGCCAUAGUCCUGUGAACUGUCACACACACACACCAUAGAACUACAGCACACCCUCACUCCUGUAAAUUUGACACUGGUUAGCAUUUGCAUCAUGGGAAAUGUAGUGUAUUAACUAGAGGGAUUUCCAGUUAAUGGGAGAAAGAGUCCAUAAGGAAUGAUCGUUCAAACGAUCUUGAUUAACUCGCUCCGGGUAGAAGUUGCCUUUAACCACAGAUCUAGGAUCAAUUUACUCUCCCAUUAUCCUAAUCUUAACCAUUAGGCGGAACACCAUUUUUUUGUUCUUAGAUCAGUGUCUGGGAAGCAACUUCAUCCUACCCUGACAUGCUCAGUGUGUGUGUGUGUGUGUGUGUGUGUGUGUGUGUGUGUGUGUGUGUGUGUGUGUGUGUGUGUGUGUGUGUGUGUGUGUGUGUGUGUGUGUGUGUGUGUGUGUGUGUGUGUGUGUGUGUAUAAUUUACUGUGAAUGAAAGACCAGCGAGACAAUCGUAACUGGCGUGAUUCCACUCGUUCUUAAUGUUCUGUUUAUCACGUCACCAUGACAACGCUACCUAUACUACGGCGUUUUGCACGACGGGAGGAGGACCGAAAAAAAAUACACAUAUAUAUAUAUAUAUAUAUACUGUUGGAAACUAAAGAACCAAUGGCCUUUUCUUAAACUUGUAACAAUUUAACAACUCUUCAUAUCACACGUUUUAAUUUGUCUGUCUUCUAAAAAAAAAAGAAUCAUAAAAAAACAAACUAUAGCUAGCUCUUUUUGUAGGGUAAUAAUUAUUAUUAUUAUGGUAAGAGCACCAUUUUGUUUUCUGUUUUUCUUUAUAAUAAUGCUGAAUGACUGUCUUGAAUUGCAUUUUUUUUUUUUAUAAAACCGUACUGUAGAUUUUUUUUGAUGGUUGUUUUUAUGUACCUGGCUACAACAACGGGUUACUAAGAUGAUAAAACUGUCUGUUCUCAACUGUGGUGGUGACAUUAUUGAGCCUGGAAUCCAUGUUUUAAAAACAGAAUUAAAACAACUUUGACUCAGAA